rnacentral:tRNA from 1 species
CCUCACAGCUCAGUUAGUAAAGAGUCUGCCUGCAAUGCAGGAGACCUGGGUUCGAUUCCUAGGUCAGGA